GACGUAGGGUGCGAGCGUUGUCCGGAUUUAUUGGGCGUAAAGAGCUCGUAGGCGGCUCGUCGCGUCGACCGUGAAAACCCGCGGCUUAACUGCGGGCUUGCGGUUGAUACGGGCGGGCUAGAGUUCGGUAGGGGAGACUGGAAUUCCUGGUGUAGCGGUGAAAUGCGCAGAUAUCAGGAGGAACACCGGUGGCGAAGGCGGAUCUCUGGGCCUUACCUGACGCUGAGGCGCAAAAGCUAGGGGAGCAAACAGG
rnacentral:rRNA from 1 species